rnacentral:rRNA from 1 species
UACGGAAGGCAGCAGUGGGGAAUAUUGCACAAUGGGCGCAAGCCUGAUGCAGCCAUGCCGCGUGUAUGAAGAAGGCCUUCGGGUUGUAAAGUACUUUCAGCGGGGAGGAAGGCGAUGUGGUUAAUAACCGCGUCGAUUGACGUUACCCGCAGAAGAAGCACCGGCUAACUCCGUGCCAGCAGCCGCGGUAAUACGGAGGGUGCAAGCGUUAAUCGGAAUUACUGGGCGUAAAGCGCACGCAGGCGGUCUGUUAAGUCAGAUGUGAAAUCCCCGGGCUUAACCUGGGAACUGCAUUUUGAAACUGGCAGGCUUGAGUCUCGUAGAGGGGGUAGAAUUCCAGGUGUAGCGGUGAAAUGCGUAGAGAUCUGGAGGAAUACCGGUGGCGAAGGCGGCCCCUGGGACGAGACUGACGCUCAGGGUGCGAAAGCGUGGGGAGCAAACAGGGAUUAGAUACC